rnacentral:misc_RNA from 1 species
CCGAGAUAGGGUCCCUCUGGGGCCCGACCUCCAACCCUUUGUCAAGAUAACCUUUGUUGCCUCGGUGGGACGUCGAAUGCCUGUCAUCAGGCCUAGCCGUCGGCACCCCUCACGGGGACCCUCGAGCGCCCACCGGUGGACCCCAUGAAACCAUCUCUGAAACUAGAUCUCUGAGUGGAAUUUUAAUACUUCA